GCGCGGGUCUCCAGAGCCUGAGCUAGUCAGAAGCAACAGUUGCUACUGCGUCCCCCGGACAUUGGGAGAAUCGUUUUCCUUGGGCAGCUGGUUCCAGACCCCCACCAGUCCUCUAGACUCCAGGCCAAUCAGUUGCUAAGGGACGUUCCUCUCUCAACCUGCACUUAUCAACAUUUUAAGCUAUAAAUUCGUCUGCAUUUCUUCAUCGUCUGUCUAUGUAGACCAUGACUCCACGGAGGCAGGAUGGAUGUCGCCCCAGCUGCCCUCUGGCUGACCAGGUGACUGACGUGGUGGAGGCUGAGGAACGCUGGCUCCUGGCGAACUCCCUGACUAUGCUUAAUCUCACCGCCUGACUGUUCAGAUUUAGCCUCUGUCUGACCAAAGGGCUCUCAGGGGCCUCACUGGCACGAGAGCCGCCCUGGUGGCCUAACCGACCUGCGGCUGCCCCACGGCCCAAGGAUCCGCUGACUGACGCUGACUGGAAGCCCAGUUAGUGCAGUUUCAAUGAAGGAACCCAACAACCGCCAACAACUGCCAGGGACCCAAC
rnacentral:lncRNA from 10 species